GGUGAGGUGGCUGAAUUAGGUGUUAGACUGUAAAUCUAUUUAUGAGAAUUUUCUCCCUUACCA
rnacentral:tRNA from 1 species